rnacentral:misc_RNA from 1 species
GAUGAAGAACGUAGCGAAAUGCGAUAAGUAGUGUGAAUUGCAGAAUUCAGUGAAUCAUCGAAUCUUUGAACGCACAUUGCGCCUUCUAGUAUUCUGGGAGGCAUGCCUGUUUGAGCGUCAUUAAACCUCUCUCAAGUAUGAUUACUUGGAUGUGAAGGAAGAGUACCUUAAACUUAAGGAGUGUUCUCCUUUGAAAUUGAUUAGCAGAUGGUAAUGUUAUUAAAUCCCUGAUGUUGUAAGAAAUAACAGUGGUUUUGUAGACUAUUAUCUAGCUUUAAAUUAUGAUUUUUAUUAUGGUUGACCUCAAAUCAGGUAAGGAUACCCGCUGAACUUAAGCAUAUCAAUAAGCGGAGGA